ensembl:lncRNA
UAAAAAAGAAAUAAAAAAUGCAUUCUGGAUUUGUAAAAGAUGCUGACAGUUCUUAAUGGGGAGGAUUCUAUUCUGCAUAGUGACUUAUGGUUUGUUCCUAAACAAUCUGCAACAAUCCUUUGCUUCAUUCUUGGCUGGUGUUUCCAUCUGAAUAAAACAUCCCAACCCAGUCCCUCUGGAAAAUGAGGAGAGUUUCUUGAUUUCAGUGAAUUUGCAAUCGAGCUUGAAAUGUAGAUACUAAUGGCCGUAUGGAAGUCUCUCUGUGCAGAAAUACUGGCCUUUGCUGAAUCCCAUCAAGCUGAACAGGUCAUAGCUGCGGCUGCUGGUGGUAGGCUUGGAGGAGGUUCUUUGGUUUGGAUGGAAGGUUUUGAAGACUCCCUGUGCUCUUCUUUUGGUAUGAGACAAUUUUAAUUCAUGUGGCUGAGUGCAUAGAUGAACUUCAGCAGCCCAGAGCUUGCACAUUACUGAAUGCAUAAGGGAAGCUUGGAUUCCAGUUUUACUCCAAAAAGUGAUUGGAUACUUUGUGUGAAGUAGACUUAUGUCAAAAGGAGAGAAUUAAUGUACUCCAGUUCCAG